AUUGCUUACGGAGAUGGCAUUCCUCCGAUAAACGCCGGCGCUCAGCCGGAUGAUGAUGCCUGCAUGAUC
rnacentral:ncRNA from 1 species